GGGUGAUCUCCUUCUGUAUCAUAGGUCUAUAGACCAGGGUGAUCUCCUACUGUAUCAUAGGUCUAUAGACCAGGGUGAUCUCCUACUGUAUCAUAGGUCUAUAGACCAGGGUGAUCUCCUACUGUAUCAUAGGUCUAUAGACCAGGGUGAUCUCCUACUGUAUCAUAGGGCUAUAGACCAGGGUGAUCUCCUACUGUAUCAUAGGUCUAUAGACCAGGGUGAUCUCCUACUGUAUCAUAGGGCUAUAGACCAGGGUGAUCUCCUACUGUAUCAUAGGUCUAUAGACCAGGGUGAUCUCCUACUGUAUCAUAGGUCUAUAGACUUGUCUUCUCAAAACAGACUUAAAAAACAACAAGCAACAAAC